GAUGAACGCUGGCGGCGUGCCUAAUACAUGCAAGUCGAGCGAAUGGAUUAAGAGCUUGCUCUUAUGAAGUUAGCGGCGGACGGGUGAGUAACACGUGGGUAACCUGCCCAUAAGACUGGGAUAACUCCGGGAAACCGGGGCUAAUACCGGAUAACAUUUUGAACCGCAUGGUUCGAAAUUGAAAGGCGGCUUCGGCGGUCACUUAUGGAUGGACACGAAUGGCAUAAGCUAGUUGGUGAGGUAACGGCUCACCAAGGCAACGAUGCGUAGCCGACCUGAGAGGGUGAUCGGCCACACUGGGACUGAGACACGGCCCAGACUCCUACGGGAGGCAGCAGUAGGGAAUCUUCCGCAAUGGACGAAAGUCUGACGGAGCAACGCCGCGUGAGUGAUGAAGGCUUUCGGGUCGUAAAACUCUGUUGUUAGGGAAGAACAAGUGCUAGUUGAAUAAGCUGGCACCUUGACGGUACCUAACCAGAAAGCCACGGCUAACUACGUGCCAGCCGCCGCGGUAA
rnacentral:rRNA from 1 species